AGACGUCUACAUUAGAUACCCGUGUAGUCCCAGCCGUAAACGAUGCGCGUUAGGUGUAUCGGUGACCACGAGUCACCGAGGUGCCGAAGGGAAACCGUGAAACGUGCCGCCUGGGAAGUACGGUCGCAAGGCUGAAACUUAAAGGAAUUGGCGGGGAGCACCACAACGGGUGGAGCCUGCGGUUUAAUUGGACUCAACGCCGGGAAGCUCACCGGAUAAGACAGCGGAAUGAUUGCCGGGCUGAAGACUCUGCAUGACUAGCUG
rnacentral:rRNA from 1 species